rnacentral:lncRNA from 1 species
CGGGCUUGACUCCCCCAAGGCCGAGGUCCGCGGCCAGGUGCUGGCGCCGCUGCCCCUCCACGGAGUUGCUGAUCAUCUGGGCUGUGAUCCACAAACCCGGUUCUUUGUCCCUCCUAAUAUCAAACAGUGGAUUGCCUUGCUGCAGAGGGGAAACUGCACGUUUAAAGAGAAAAUAUCACGGGCCGCUUUCCACAAUGCAGUUGCUGUAGUCAUCUACAAUAAUAAAUCCAAAGAGGAGCCAGUUACCAUGACUCAUCCAGGCACUGGAGAUAUUAUUGCUGUCAUGAUAACAGAAUUGAGGGGUAAGGAUAUUUUGAGUUAUCUGGAGAAAAACAUCUCUGUACAAAUGACAAUAGCUGUUGGAACUCGAAUGCCACCGAAGAACUUCAGCCGUGGCUCUCUAGUCUUCGUGUCAAUAUCCUUUAUUGUUUUGAUGAUUAUUUCUUCAGCAUGGCUCAUAUUCUACUUCAUUCAGAAGAUCAGGUACACAAAUGCACGCGACAGGAACCAGGAACAAGAGAAGAAUGUGUCCUCUGAUCACUUCUGUUUCUGCGUUGUUCUUUAGAUUCUAGCCAGCACAGUAAGUAAAAAGGAAAAGACGUAAAAGACAUCCAUUGUGGAAAUGGAGAAGUAAGCUGUCUUCAUUUACAGACAACAUUAUUUUCUGUAGAAAUUUCGUGUAGAAGAUAUGUUGGAAUCUAUGAAAAAGACCAACAGUAGAUUUAACAAGGUUCCAUGAUACAAGAUCAAUAUGAAAGAAUUAAUUUUAUUUCUAUAUAUGAGUAAUGAAUAAUUGAAUUGGUUUUAAAAAAUGCAUUUUCAUCAAGCAGAUGGUGCACACCUGUAGUUCCAGCUACUUGUGAGGCUGAGGUAGGAAGAUUAUUUGAACCCAGGAGUUUGAGUCCAGCCUGGGCAACAUAACAAGACCCUAUCUCUAAGAAAGUUAAAUUUUAAGAAAUCCCAUUUUCCAUAGCAUCAACAAAUAGGAAAUUCUUAACAAUAAAUCUGACAAAAUAUGCAAUAUGCCCUAUGUAGUGAAAACUAACUAUUGCUGAGGAAAUUAAUCAAGAACUAAGUAGGUGGAGAGACACAUACACAGUGUUCAGUGGAAGACUUAAUGUUGUUAAGAUGCCAGUUCUCCCCAAGUGGAUGUAUACAUUCAGCACAAUCUCAUUGUAAAUCCCUGAUGUCUUUUAUCAUAGAGAUGGACAAACUGAUCCUAAAGUUCAUAUGGGAAUGCAAAAUAUCAAGAAAAACCACAAGGAUGUUAGAAUAGAAAGGAAAUGUGGGAUGGUUAACACCACCUAAUUUCAGAUCUAUUACAAAGCCUCAGAAAUCAGGACAGGAUUGUAUUUCCUUAAUGGUAAACAAAUAGAUGCAUGGUACAAUAGUGUCCGCACAUAGACCCACAUAUUUAUGGACAACUGGUUUUUGACAGAUUUAGAAAGGUAAUUCUGUGGAGAAUGGACAACCUUUUCAACAAAUGAUUCUAGAACAAUUGUAUGUCCAUAUGCAAAAAAAAAAAAAAAAAAAAGUUCAUCUGUACCUGACAGAAUACACAAAAUGAGUCAGAACCCUAAAUACAAAGUACGAAACUAUAAAAUUUCUAGAAGAGAAAACGGGGAAGUCUUUGUAACCUUGAAAUAGGCAAAGCUUCCUUAAUAUGAUACUAGAGCACAGUCUACCAAUGAAAAAAUGAUUAAUCGACUUCAUCAAAUUAAAAACUGCCAUAAAGUGAGGGGAAAUACAUGCAAAAGGAUUUUUAUCUGGAAUAUAUAAUGUUCUCUCAAAAGUCAAUAAUACAAAACAACUCAGAAAUAUAGGCAAAACACAUGAACAGACACUUCACCACAGACAAUGUACACAUAUAGGCAAAACACAUGAACAGACACUUCACCACAGACAAUGUACACAUGGCCAAUAAGUACAUGAAAAGAUGGUCAACAUCAUUACAAUAGGGAAAUGCAAAUUAAAACUGUAAGGAGGCUGCGUGCCGUGGCUCACACCUGUAAUCUCAGCAUUUUGGGAAGCCAAAGUGAGAGGAUUGCUUGAGCCAAGAAGUUUCGGACCAGCCUGGGCAACAUAGUGAGACCUCGUCUCUACAAAAAUAAAAAUAAAAAAUCAGUUGGUCAUGGUGGUGCACCCCUGUAGUUCCUGCUAUUCCAGAGGCUGAAGCUGGAGAAUCACUUGAGUGAGCCCCAGAGGUCAAGGCUACAGUGAGCCGUGUUUGCACCACUGUACUCCAGUUUGGGAAGCAGAGCAAGACCUUGUCUUAAAAACAAAACAAAACAAAACAAAACACAAAAUCUCACCAUACCAAGUGUUGGUGAGAAUGUGGAGGAACUAUAAUUUUCAUGUAUUGCUGUUGCAAAUGUAAAAUAAUAUGCCCAGUUUGGAAAACACUUUGGCAGUCUCUUAAAUAAAAGUCAGACAACUAUCAGGUGAGCCCAUCUUUCUACUUGCAGUAUUUACCUCAGGAAAAAAGAAAGCAUAUGUCCAUGCAAAGAAUUGAGAAUGUUGUUGUCAGCUUUUCAGUACAGCCAAAAACUGGACCACAGUGCAGAUGUCCCAUCAACAGGUGAAAGGAUAUUGUGGGCCAUCUCUUCAGUGGGAUACUAGAUAACAUUAGAAAGGAGUUAACUGUUGAAACAUGCACCAAGGUGGCUUAAUCUCAAGAUAAUCAUGCUGAGUCAAAGAAGCCGUACACACAGUAGUACAUACUGUAUCUAUUCCAUUUAUGUAAAACUCAUGAUGUUGCAGACUGUUACAGCAAAAAGUAGAUCAUGGAGGGAUGGGGUGGCGGGAGGAGGGAAUUAGGAAGGGGCACAAAGAAGUUUGGGGAUGUGGUAGAUACACUGUCUUGAUUGUAGUUAGGUUUUCAUGGGUAAUGAAAACAGCGUAGAUUUCAUAUGCAACUUCAAACUGUAACUUUAAAUAUAUGUCAGGGUGUAGAUUUUAAAUAUAUGCAGUCUAUUUUAAGUCAAUUAUAUCUCCAUAAGGUGGUUUAAAACCAGCGUGACAGAAGGGACUCAUAGAUUAGGCUUCAAAGACGGAGCAGCCACACGCAGUGUGUGGAUUUUGUAUCUUGAUUCAAACAAGCCAGCUGCUUAAAGACAUUCUGUAAACACCUAGGGAAAUUGUAGUAUAGUGUGAGUAUUGGAUAAUGUUGAUUAAUCAUUGUUACUUUUGUUAGGAAAGACAGUGGCAUCUAACAAAAGCCCGUGUCUAUUAGAGGUGCUUAGUGAAAAUUUUAUGGGUGAAAUUAUGUGAUGCUUGCCAUAUGCUUCAAAAUCAUCUAACACAGUAAAGAGGGAAACAGAUGAAAAAUAGAAGUAAAGUACUGGUAAUGGAAGCCGGAUGUUAGAUACAUAGGGAAGGCUUUAUUAAAUCAUUCUCUGUUCUUUUGUGUGUUUAAAACUUUCCCCUAAAUUUUUUCUUACAUGUUUCUAUGGGUUUUUAACAUUCUUAAGGUGUCCGUUGUUUUGGUCCCCGCCUUGCUCCGUCAGGAGCGGCAUCUGCCUUUUCCCACAGUGUAAGGCCUGGAUGUGUCUAGAGUGACGUCUCCCUGAUGUGCCUGGGACAGUCGCGGUUUUUGCCCCUUGUCCCAGUGUGAGUGUUCCUAGGGCCCUCUGAUGCACAAAGCUUUCUAAUUUGAACAGGAAAGCAGAUGCUCACCUUAGUUUUCUUCACAUACCUGUUCUUUACACCUAUUUAUCUUUACUAGAUUAUUACUUUGCCUGGAACCCACUCCUACCCCUACACCCGGAACCCCCUCCUAACCCUACGCCUUUCCCAUCUAACCCCUUCCCAGUCUUAGUCCAGGCCUCGACUCCUCAAGACCUUCCCUGACGUUCCUCCCCUGCCUCGCCCCACCCCUCCUAGUCGCCUCCUCUGUGCUGCCACCUGGCCCUGGGCAUGCUUGAGUAUACACCAUUAACGCAGCUGUCCCAGUUCAGUGAGCUUUUCCAGGGUAGGGAUCACCAUCUCUUCAUCUGUGGGUUGUUGGUGCCAAGCAGUGCUAGCAGUGUCUGGGAGAAUGUUGCAUAAAUCCAGCCUUGGAGUUUCUCUGCCCUCACCCUUACAGAUAAUGAAAACAGCUCAACCCUGGAAGGUAAGUACACCUUCCCAGGAUCCCAGAGGAUGAUAGUAUAGCGAGCCAGAAGUGGAGCUGUGACGCAUUCCUUCUCUUCACACUUGAUGAUGCGAUAAGCAAUUUCAAGGAGCGGUCAAGGUUUCCCUUAAUAAGACGGCAUUUACACACCUAAUGGUGAUCAUUCGUUGAGCAGAAUCCAAAAGCCAUUGGAGCAGCAGGAGUGGCUCUGGAGUGUGCAAGAACGUCGUCUCGGAGAUGCAGCCAAGAAAGCCAUCAGUAAAUUGACAACCAGGACAGUAAAGAAGGGUGACAAGGAAACUGACCCAGACUUUGAUCAUUGUGCAGUCUGCAUAGAGAGCUAUAAGCAGAAUGAUGUCGUCCGAAUUCUCCCCUGCAAGCAUGUUUUCCACAAAUCCUGCGUGGAUCCCUGGCUUAGUGAACAUUGUACCUGUCCUAUGUGCAAACUUAAUAUAUUGAAGGCCCUGGGAAUUGUGCCGAAUUUGCCAUGUACUGAUAACGUAG